ACGGAAGGCAGCAGUGGGGAAUAUUGGGCAAUGGGCGAAAGCCUGACCCAGCAACGCCGCGUGAAGGAAGAAGGCCUUCGGGUUGUAAACUUCUUUUACCAGGGACGAAGGACGUGACGGUACCUGGAGAAAAAGCAACGGCUAACUACGUGCCAGCAGCCGCGGUAAUACGUAGGUUGCAAGCGUUGUCCGGAUUUACUGGGUGUAAAGGGCGUGUAGGCGGAGCUGCAAGUCAGAUGUGAAAUCCCGGGGCUCAACCCCGGAACUGCAUUUGAAACUGCUGAUCUUGAGUAUCGGAGAGGCAAUCGGAAUUCCUAGUGUAGCGGUGAAAUGCGUAGAUACUAGGAGGAACACCAGUGGCGAAGGCGGAUUGCUGGACGACAACUGACGGUGAGGCGCGAAAGCGUGGGGAGCAAACAGGAUUAGAUACCCUGGUA
rnacentral:rRNA from 1 species